UACGUAGGCAGCGAGCGUUGUCCGGAGUUACUGGGCGUAAAGGGUGUGUAGGCGGUUUUUUAAGUUUGGUGUGAAAUCUCUCGGCUCAACCGGGAGGGUGCGCCGAAUACUGAGGGACUAGAGUACGGGAGAGGAAAGUGGAAUUCCUGGUGUAGCGGUGAAAUGCGUAGAUAUCAGGAGGAACACCGGUGGUGUAGACGGCUUUCUGGACCGUAACUGACGCUGAGACACGAAAGCGUGGGUAGCAAACAGG
rnacentral:rRNA from 1 species